CAACUUGAAUUUGGGUUUUUAACUUAGGUUUGGGUGGCGGACGGGUGAGUAACGCGUAAAGAACUUGCCUCACAGCUAGGGACAACAUUUGGAAACGAAUGCUAAUACCUAAUAUUAUGAUAAUAGGGCAUCCUAUAAUUAUGAAAGCUAUAAGCGCUGUGAGAGAGCUUUGCGUCCCAUUAGCUAGUUGGAGAGGUAACGGCUCACCAAGGCGAUGAUGGGUAGCCGGCCUGAGAGGGUGAUCGGCCACAAGGGGACUGAGACACGGCCCUUACUCCUACGGGAGGCAGCAGUGGGGAAUAUUGGACAAUGGACCAAGAGUCUGAUCCAGCAAUUCUGUGUGCACGAUGAAGUUUUUCGGAAUGUAAA
rnacentral:rRNA from 1 species